GCCAAACAUCGUCCUGGAACGGGCAUACAACUUGGGUAUAUGGACUCAAAAAACAGUUUCUGCUCCUCGCAGGAAACCCCAGUGUUGGCCUCUCCCAUAGGAUGCCCAUAGCAGCACUCCUCCGCACUGACGGAUGGUUGGCGGUACUGGGCGCCAAGAUAGUCGGAACCCCAGGCACAAGGCACAAAGUUCCGAAGGGAACUUAUUAGACAUGCAAGGGUCCC